rnacentral:rRNA from 1 species
AUUGAAUGCUGGCGGCAUGCCUUACACAUGCAAGUCGAACGGCAGCACGGGGGCAACCCUGGUGGCGAGUGGCGAACGGGUGAGUAAUGCAUCGGAACGUGUCCUCUUGUGGGGGAUAACCAGUCGAAAGAUUGGCUAAUACCGCAUGCGAUCGCAAAAUGAAAGCGGGGGACCGCAAGGCCUCGCGCGAGAGGAGCGGCCGAUGCCGGAUUAGCUAGUUGGUGGGGUAAAAGCCUACCAAGGCGACAAUCCGUAGCUGGUCUGAGAGGACGACCAGCCACACUGGGACUGAGACACGGCCCAGACUCCUACGGGAGGCAGCAGUGGGGAAUUUUGGACAAUGGGCGCAAGCCUGAUCCAGCCAUGCCGCGUGUGUGAAGAAGGCCUUCGGGUUGUAAAGCACUUUCGGACGGAACGAAAUCGCGCGGACGAACAUUCCGCGUGGAUGACGGUACCGUAAGAAGAAGCACCGGCUAACUACGUGCCAGCAGCCGCAGUAA